GUUAUUUUGGCAGAAUAGUGCAAUAAAUUUAGAAUUUAUAGAUAUAUAGUAAUUAUAUAAGUAAUA
rnacentral:tRNA from 1 species